GACGAACGCUGGCGGCGUGCUUAACACAUGCAAGUCGAACGGAAAGGCCCUGCUUUUGUGGGGUGCUCGAGUGGCGAACGGGUGAGUAACACGUGAGUAACCUGCCCUUGACUUUGGGAUAACUUCAGGAAACUGGGGCUAAUACCGGAUAGGAGCUCCUGCUGCAUGGUGGGGGUUGGAAAGUUUCGGCGGUUGGGGAUGGACUCGCGGCUUAUCAGCUUGUUGGUGGGGUAGUGGCUUACCAAGGCUUUGACGGGUGGCCGGCCUGAGAGGGUGGCCGGCCACAUUGGGACUGAGAUACGGCCCAGACUCCUACGGGAGGCAGCAGUGGGGAAUAUUGCACAAUGGGCGGAAGCCUGAUGCAGCAACGCCGCGUGCGGGAUGACGGCCUUCGGGUUGUAAACCGCUUUCGCCUGUGACGAAGCGUGAGUGACGGUAAUGGGUAAAGAAGCACCGGCUAACUACGUG
rnacentral:rRNA from 1 species